rnacentral:tRNA from 2 species
GGUCUGGUGGUGUAGUUGGUUAUCACGUCAGUCUAACAGUUCGAGCCACAAGCUCGACUGAGAACACUGAAGGUCUCCGGUUCAAGUCCGGGCUAGAUCA